rnacentral:rRNA from 1 species
AUUGAACGCUGGCGGCAGGCCUAAUACAUGCAAGUCGAACGAGUGGCGGACGGGUGAGUAAUGUCUGGGAAACUGCCUGAUGGAGGGGGAUAACUACUGGAAACGGUAGCUAAAACCGCAUACCAUCAGAUGUGCCUAGAGGGGAUUAGCUAGUUGGGGGGGUAAGGGCUCACCAAGGCGGCGAUCCCUAGCUGGUCUGAGAGGAUGACCCGCCACACGGGAACUGAGCCACGGUCCAGCCUCCUACGGGAGGCAGCAGUGGGGAAUAUUGCACAAUGGGCGCAAGCCUGAUGCAGCCAUGCCGCGUGUAUGAAGAAGGCCUUCGGGUUGUAAAGUACUUUCAGCGGGGAAGCGUUACCCGCAGAAGAAGCACCGGCUAACUCCGUGCCAGCAGCCGCGGUAAUAC